GAAAUAUUUUGUGGAUAACGAAACUUCACCUGACCUCCCAUCAGCAUCAGAGAUCCUUAUCUUCAGUUUCAGUGGUGUGUUUAAGGACAGUGGGACAUGUGGAGUCAGUGUUGGCUCAGCAGCUUGAACUCAGGCAGUGAAGUCUACCUUGGAGAGCGAGCUCAGCUGAAACAUGACGACUCCCAGCAGGCUGGAUGAAUAAUGGAGGACCUGCAGCUGCAGGCCGGAGGACACGUGCAGCCUCUCGGCCACAUUUAGCUCCAGUCGGCCUCAACAGCAGCAGGUCAACGCUUCUACCUCCACAGACACGUGUUAAACUUUGUUUUUAAUGUUGGGACGAUGUCAGCAGGUUCAGAGUUCAGUUUUAAAUUACUGUGAUUAUAAUUGGACCUAAAACGUUGAAUUAAUUAGCAGAUAUAUAGAUAUGUUGACAGUUUCAGUGCUCUGAGGUCAUUUUAGAUAAAAAAGUUUAUUAUCAAACUAUAAAAUGUAUAUAUUAUUUAUUUAUCAAACAUUUCUCUGUGUAUCUAGUCACUGUAAAAUGGCAAAAAAGCUAUCGGAUGGACUUUAAUAUGUAGUUUCCAAUUAUUGUUGUCAUGAUAUACAGAUAUUGAUAAUGACGAUGAUAUUAAAGAUUAAAUAUUGAUUUUGUGUUAAAUAA